GUCGGGGUGGGGGGGGCGGCGGCUCCUUUCCCAUCCCUUGUGCCGGUUCUCUGUGACACCAUGUGGAGACCCGAUCUUCGCCUUCCUGUUCCCCGGGACUGUGACUGCGCUCCUCAGGGAGUCAAAAUGCAUGGCUUUCAUCCACUUUCAACACAUAAAAGAUGUUUUCAACACAGAAAGGCCUUUCACCGCUCUUACUUAAUAGUCAGCUUUUGGAAAGAUGUGAACUAGAAUGAAAAAUGAGGAUGAACACCUCUGAAAUCAGCUGUUUUGAAUUAAAUAAAGCAGAGUGAGGUUGGAGUCAGGUGAAGCGAGAAGAUGGGAUUUAGCCAGUGAGGAUUAAUGCGCCGCCUCCUUUCAACUCUGAGGGGACAGUCUUAGAAAUGAGCUGAAGGGAUGGACUGGCUGCUCUGCCCCCUCCUCUUACUUCUGCCCCCACAGGGCUGUUCCCCCCCCUUACCCCGACUUCCCUCAGGAUGAUUUAAUCCUUCCCAGGGCUUUGCAUCAUUGCAAGGAGGUGUUUUGGGGUUUUUUCUCAGGAUUGCUCCCCCCUUUAGUUGUUCUUACUGAUGCUUUUCGGAGACCCACUUCACCGGGCUGGCUUAGCCAGUGAGGAUUCCGAGCACCCAGGGCAGGUGAGCCUGCCUGGAGGCCCUCGAGGCUCUGUGGGCGUCCGGGUCCCUGCUCUCCACGUGGAGCACGGUGGCCUGAGGGUCGUGUAUCUGGCCGGCCCCCCAGCCAGCUUCGCACAGAGACCAUGGGAACGGGACCGCGGUCGCACAAUGCCCUGGCAGGACCUGCUGAACUCCGGUCUGUCUUUGUGGGGCGGUGGGGGUCCUUAGUCUGACCCUGAAGGUGGCAGAGGUGAUUUUUCUUUGCCUGAGGCCAGCUGUUUAAUGAACUUCAACACCUGGAGGGAAGUUCUGUCCUCCAUUCUGGGGGAGGUAGGGGACCAGUAGACGGCCUUUGGCCAGCUGGCAGAAUUAAGUCCCGGGCAAUUCUGGCACCUCCCGGUCAGUUGACCUGGAGAGUGGACUGUGUGGAGAGCAGUGCACCUGAAUCCGUCUGCCCUCUCCCCCCCACGUGCUUUCUCCGGUCAGGCUGGUCUCCCGAGGGCAGGGGGGCACCUGGCGCUGCGGUUCUUACAGGAGCGGAACGUCCCCUUCCUCAGAGCCGGCCAACAGCGGCACUGGUCUUGUCGGCCACUCAGGGCCCUUCCAGACCAUGCGGCCCUUCAGGGAUCAGGUCGGGCAUCCGUGGCCCCAGCCAGCGUUUGAGCCGCACGUUGGGAGCGCACAGCUGAGGCCCUCUGCACAGUGCAGUGCGAGGGCCGGAACAAGGUAUUUUGAACACUGGACACUGUGUUUCAGUGGUUACCGAGGUGCAGGGCUCAUUACCAGGGAGCUCCCAUAAAAAAAAAACAGCCGUUAUCUAGAUUCCUCAAGGUUAUGACAAAGCUAAAGCAGCUUGUUUGUUACCAAGCAAACGGACAGAAGUCUCACCAGAAGCAUUUUGGUUUCUGUUUUCAGGGACGGUGGGGGGGGUUCCCAUCCUGGAGUCUGGCUUUGGUUUGCCUCGGUUUUACUUCCUUCGGGACCCAGGUCUGGAGUUCCCUUCCCACCCCGCCUAAGAUAGCACCCCCUCCCCACCCCUCCCUGGACGUUUUCAUCUUCAUUGACUUAUCAGUCAUGUGAGCCCCUAUUUUAUAAAGCCUGUCUCCUCCCUCCCCUACCUCCCCACCAUCCCCACCAUGUGAAGCGUGGCGUGGCAGCUUAAUGAAGGUACACCUUGGCCCCUCGCAUAGGCGUGGCUUUUUAAUCACAAGAAGGGCUUGCUAUUUAUCCCCGGAUCGUGGAAACCAGUACAACUGCUACUUUUUUUUCUUGAAGAAAUCCAGUAACCCCAGGCUUUCUGGAUCCAAAGUAGGUCAGAUGGCUAAUGAUUGCAAAUGGAUUGGCGUCUAGCGUCUUUGGAAACCUAAAGCUGGACUCGGGCCCGCAUUCGUGUUUCUCUUCCUCUGUGAAAGCGCCUCCAACGGCAGCUUGACUUUGCGUUGCUGCGAACCCGGUUAAGCCAAGCCCGAGCUGCUGCUGGAAACUGACACCGGACCCUGUGGCCCCGCCUCCACCUGAGCUGGGCGGGAGGCCGGUUGGUGAUGGACACAGGGAUGUGUUCAGUGCGACUGCUGGGGGCUGAAAAUAUCAACUUUUACCAAAUGAUUUAAAAUUACCAAUUGACCAUAUCCGGGGUUGAACCUGCAUGAUUCAGCUCCUUUUAAAAAUAUCUUUUCUCAACAAAUUGCUUCCUUAACAUUUUAAUUUGUUGAUCAUAAAGGAAGCUUGCCAAAUAUUAGCCGCUCUUUUCCAUUUCCUGCAGCUCCGAGCUUCCCUUAUUUGGCAUAUUUCAGUGGAACUGUAAGGUCACUCCCUAUUUCUCUUCCCAAAUAACUGUAUUUAUUACUGUCGUGUAUUGGCGGGUUUGAUCCAGCUGUCAUCAGAAUGUUUGGAAAGAUUGUUUUUUGCCAGAAUGCUGAUUUAAUGAUCUAAUGCUGACAUGGCUUGUUUUCUCCGCUGAUUUGAUAACUUACUUGUUCAAUAAACUCCCCGCUUAGUGA